CUUGCUGAAGUCGAGGCAGGGCACCCACUUGGAGCGGAUCAGGUAGUUGACCUGCGUAAGGAGGGCCUCUAUGGAGAGGGGUGGCAAGUAAGACAGGGUCUCAAACUUCUUCAUGCCCUCGAUCAGCCAAACCCAAUUAGAUGGAUUUAACACAAUUGAUAAACGCUUGAAGCCUAAAUUAAUUAUACUGACAUUUUAAGAAAGACCUAGCCAUAAGGCAAAAAUUACUCCUUAUGGACAUGUCUGCGUUAGUCAACCACUCAACUACCAAUGCAGACCUAAGUGCAAGCCUAUGCCUUGCACUUAAAAGGAAAAAUAGAAUAAUCAUUGGGGUUUAAGAAUUCAAAACAAAGAAAGUCUUGCACGGAUGACCAUUAGGCAAUGGAGAUGGCCUUGUAAUCGAUGCUAACACAAGGAGAAGGCAUCGACAUGCAACUAGGAUGCACACAGACCUAUGAAUAAAUGAAAGCUCUCCCAAGGACUAAGUGGGGGUGCGUCCAACUUGCUUGCUCAUGAAGAGCUAGAGCAUUUGAGCAAUCUCGUCAUGAAGACAUAGAGGGAAAGUUCUAUAAUAUAAAUUCUCCACCUAGUAUAAAACAUAAAGCUCAUGAAACUUUAAUUAGAUGCUAAGACCAACAAAAGAUCUUUAGUAAGGGUCUCUGACAAGAAUAUGCUUCAUCCUAUUUUACUAGGAGAAACCGAUAGAGAUGAUAGUAUUGGCAUGGAAAACAAACCAUAUUUUUUUGUAUUUAUAAGUAAAGAAACUGAAAUUUGUAGCUGCCAAUCAGGGGAUCUUAAUGUCAAAUAUUGAAUUCAUACACCCACUACCUGUGAGACAUAUCCAUUGCAGUGCCAAAUAAAGAAUCUUUUUUGCGAAUUAACAGCAAGACAAUGGUCCGCUUGUUGUAUAUAAUAAUUAUCACACCAGUGUUGUAUAUGUAGCCGGUGCUAGAGUUUACACAUGCAUGCUCCACAACCUAUGUUUGUACAUACACAGAUCAUACAGAACAAAAAUUAUGCUUAGGUCGGAAAGCAGAGUCGUGGAGAAAAGUGAAGUUCACGAAAUAUCAUAUAUAGGCCAUUGUUUUAACUCGUAGUAAGGCCUUGACAGACUCAAAACCAGGUGGCCCGAAGGUGAUGAAGCUGACGCACUACACCUGGCGCAGGUUGUCGAAGCCGAUGAUGCAGACAUAGGCGUCAGGGUACUCCUUCUUGACCUCCUCCACCUCCUUGAGCACCUUCUUGGUGUCGGUGCACCCAAAGAUAGGUAGCUUCCACAUUGUUUAGUAUUAGCGGUCAUAGUACCCAGGGGACCUAUUGCGCUCACGGAAUAUGAAGCCAAUGUUACUGAACUCGAGGCAGGGCACUCACUUGGAGGGGAUCAGGUAGUCGACCUGCUUGAGGAGGGCCUCCAUGGAGAGGGAUGGCAAGUGACAGGAUCUCGAACUUCUUGAUGCCCUCGAUCGGCCAAACCUGAUUAGAUGGAACGAACACAAUUGAUCAACACUUAGUGCUUAAAAUAAUUAUAUUGGCAAUUUAGGAAAGACCUAGCCAUAAGGCAAAAAAUUACACCUUAUGGGCAUGUUUGCAUUAGUCAACCACUCAACUACCUAUGCAGAGCUAAGUGCAAGCCUAUGCCUGACAUUUAAAGCGAAAAUAGAUUAAUAAUUGGAGUUUGAGAAGUAAAACCCAAAGGAAUUAGACUAUAUAUGCGGCUAUUUGAACGUGUGUUCUUAAAAAAAAUUGGGGUUGGAUGUACGAGGGCAGCGUUGGAUAUUUUUUUUUGUGGAAUACCUUCCAACUUCCAUCCUUCUGAAUGGUGUGCCUGGUAGGCCAUUCCAAUGGGAGCCUGGAAUUCAUCUGGGUGACCCACUGUUACUACUUCUAUUUUUCUUGGCAGUGGAUUUACUUCAACCUAUUCUCAGUGACAUGUAUCAUCAUGGGGAGCUAUCUUUUCCAAUUCCAUCUCAUGUUCUAGACUAUCCAAUUGAUCCUCAACUUCUUGACCUAAAAUAAAUUUUACAAUUUUGUCUAAUAUAAAUCCACUCAUUUGAAAGUGAAUUUUCAUAAAUCCUCCAUGGUGCUUAUAAAUAUGAUUGGUGAUGAAGCUUCUUGUUGGCCAGUUUGUUUGAGUAUAAACUGGGUAAGAUGCCUUUCACUUACAUGUUUUACCUAUGGGUAACACUAGGCCCAAGAUGCAUGACUUAAUUCCUUUCGUUGAUAGAAUGAAAAGGACAUUGGCAGCUAGCUCUUCUCUGCUUUCACAAGGUGCUAGGUUGAAACUUUUGAGGUCUGCCAUUUCAUGUGUUCCAAACAACUGAACAUAAUUGAGCAGAAUGUUUCUAGCGUGGCAACGCUGAUAGCCCAAAGCAACCAUUGGCGACAUGUCAUCUGGUAUGUAAACCAAAGGAGAAUGGUGGUAAGGGUAUCAUUAACCGUCAUAUUCGGGACCAAGCUCUGCUUACAAAAUACUUGCGCAAAUUUUAUAACAAAGCUCACGUUCCAUGGGUAAAUUUGAUAUUGAUUUCUUACUAUCAUGGAGUUUUACCAGAUGCAAUAGUCCUUUGUGGCUCCUUCUGGUGGAUGGAUCAGUACAGGGCCAUCUCUUCAAUGGAAAUUAAUAUGAGCGGCUCUGCCCUGUUCUUGUCAGAUGCCUGGUUGAUUGAGGGAUCUUCUCGACGUCUUCGACAUCAUUUGGAAAGGCUCCUUUCUUUGCCUUGGAUGACAACAUUUCUAUUUAAGAUUUUAUAGAAACACUUGAUUGGGCCACUCUUUUACACCUACAAUUACUCCUGAGGCAUUGGAUGAAUUGUAACCUCUGGAUGGUUGGUUACAUAGCCUUCAACGUAACCCAACCUUGCCUUGUUUGUUCUUGGUUAGGAGGAUCAUUUUCUGCCAAGAGCUUCUACUGCAUGAUGCACAAGCACAUGCCCACUGAUGAACCUUGCAAAUGGAUAUGACAAUGCACCAUGAAGAUCAAGAUCUUUGCUUAGAUCCUAUUGCUUUAUUGGUUGAACGCUCGGAACAUGCUUCUUAGAAGGCACUGGCAUUCUCCUCGGGAUGAAACCCAUUGUGCUCACAUGAGGAAAGAGACCACUUAUUAUUCUCCUAUAAUUUGAGUCAAAGGAUUUGGAUUUAUUUGUAGAUUGGUUGGAGCCCUUGACGAAACACUAGACAAUGUAUUGAUGCUGCCUGUAAACGAUUUUGGACACCCUUUGUUUCUUUGAAGUGGUGUUCUCUUGGAACCAAUAUUUAUAUUAUUCGAAAUGGCAAGAUCUUCGUAGUGGAGAGGCCAACCUUUCCCGCUUGGUUUUGUUAAUUUGUACAAGACAUCUCUUCUUGCACAUAGAGUUAAGGCUUGUAUCAAACCAAAGCUCCUCGUUUGGAUUAGUAACCUCCAUUAGAGAAAUAGGUAAGUAGGUAAGUGUUGUUUUUCCUUUUUUCCUUGGUUUCUUUUGUAAAUAUUUUUGCUUCCUUUUGUUUUCAUCGAAUAAAGGACUGUAUAGCUGUUGCUCCAUAGUAGUUCAAAUCCGAGAUUUUUCUUGAUUUUCACAAGUAUGAUUGCAAUCCUUCACAAAUAGCCCAUGCAAAAGUUCCAUAAUAAGUUUUGAAUGCUAUUGUUAUAUCGAGUUCAGUUAGAUGCUUAUUAUACUGACCAACAAAAGUUCUUUAGUAAGGGUCUCUGAGAAGAAUAUUUUUCAUUCUAUUCUACUAGCAAAAACCGAUGAAGAAGAUGAUGGUAGUUACAUGGAAAAGAAACCACAAUUUUUUUGUAUUUUUUUAAACUCAACUUUUGAUUUGAUAUAAGUAAACAAACUGAAAUUUGUAAUUGCCAAUCAGGAAAUCUUAAUGUCAAAUACUGAAUUCUUCCACCAACUAGCUGGGAGACAUAUCCAUUGCAGUGCCAAAUAAAGAAAGUUUUCCGAGAAUUAACAGCAGGACAAUGGUCCGCUUGUUGUAUAUAAUAAAUAUCACACUGGUGUUGUAUAUGUGUAGCCGGUGCUAGAAUUUACAUAUGCAUGCUCCACAACCUAUGUUCGUACAAACACAGAUCAUACCGAAGGAAAAAUAUGCUCUGGUCGGGAAGCAGAGUCCUGGACAAAAGUGAAGUUCACAAAAGACAAUCAUACAUAGGCCAUUGUUUUAACUCGUAGUUUAGGCCUUGCCAGACUCCUCGCAACCCGGUGGCCUGAAUGCGAUGAAGCUGACGCACUGCACCUGGCGCAGGUUGUCGAAGCCGAUGACGCGGACAUAGGCGUCAGGGUACUCCUUCUUGACCUCCUCCACCUCGUUGAGCACCUGCGUGGCGUCGGUGCACCCGAACAUAGGCAGCUUCCACAUUGUCCAGUAUCGACCGUCGUAGUACCCGGAGGAGCUGUUGUGCUCACGGAAGACGAAGCCAACCUUGCUGAACUCGAGGCAGGGCACCCACUUGGAGCGGAUCAGGUAGUCGACCUGCUUCAGGAGGGCCUCCGUGGAGAGGGGUGGCAAGUAAGACAGGGUCUCGAACUUCUUGAUGCCCUCAAUCGGCCACACCUGAAUGAAUGGAAAUUGUGGAAUGCACACAACUGCUUAACACUUGGUGCUAGUAAAUUGUACGUACAGAGGAAGAAACUCAUAUCAGUUUUGUGCCUCGAGUCUCGACAUACCUGCAUGCACCUGAUCCUUCCGCCAUUGCUGACGCGGCCGAGGCUGCCGCUGGAGCGGCGGCUGACGGGGAGACCGGCUGUGGACUUGAGCCCCUGGAAGGGUGCGACGGUGGUAGCCGACGAAGCCAUCACGGCGGGGGCCAUGGUAUUGUAUUAUCGGAGGAGAGGAGGAUGCCGGCUACAGGUGAGGCCACCAUUGCCGGGUCACUACGGUAUAUAUAGCCAGACACUUAGCGUCGUUUCUUUGGUACAGAUGUGGUUGGGGUGGCUGACGUUCUCUGGUUGCCUCGUUUCCUUAUCUUCUCCGGAUCAGUGGAAGAAGCAUGGCCGUCGGAUGCGUUGUGUGUGCUGGAAAUUUCAGUCCUUCAUGUCAUUGGCUGGCUGCCACACAACCUUUUUCCAGCUUUUCUUGUUUUUGGUUUCAUUUAAAGCCAAAAGUUUCUUGAGUACAAAUUUUCUGAGAUGCGACUUGAGUGGUGCGGGCAAAAUAUUUUACAUUUUAUCAUAAGAUCUGAUGGCUCACUCUCUCGAAAGUAUGCCCAUAGGCGUAGAGUGUGCGUGUGUGCAUUUAUAGGGGUUGUUGUACAUGUGUGUAUGUGAACGUCUACAUUUGUACACCGUUUCUCAAAAUAAAAUAUAUGUUUUGUUGGUACAAUUAAUUGAACUAGCAUAGUAACCGUCCACACGCAGAACAAGUUCUUUCCCCUCUCGCAAGGCAACUAUUGAAAGCUUUCCAGCCCUCUAUAUCCGCCAGUGAGCCCGUGGAUCCGCCUCCCCUCUGCCGGAAGGGGGAUUCCUGGUGCCUCAGCUCUGGCUAGUAGAUAAGUAGGGUUUUUAGUCCUCAUAGGUGAGGCUCUUGGACGGAUGGCAGCCCUUCUUCUUCGAGCCAAUCUUUCGGGAUCCGAUCCUCUUCAAGUUCCUCUGUCUAGGGAGCUCCGACGUAGAUUCUUGCCAGCUCCUCAGGCGGCGAGGUUAGGAUUUCUCGUCAUGCGUAUGCACAAUGAAAUUUGUGUCAGGUUCUUUAGAUCGAUUCAGGGAUUCAACGGCGGCGACUGCGGCUCCAGAGCACUAGUCCUUAGGGGCACGUGCAUGAAGACUUCCUGGCUGUCAUCGACAAGGUCAAGGUAGCUCUAGAGUGGGAGCAACGACAACGGUGCUUUAGUGGCUCGUCUCUAUGCGUAGGAACGAAAAGAAAGCCCUAUAUCUCGACUUUUUGACAACUCUCUGUGACAAUGGGAUUGAGCUACUCCAUACCUUGUUUUAAACACUACUGGGUAGGAACGAAAAGCUCUAUAUCUCAACUAUUAACACAUAUGGCUAAAUCUGUACCUUGAAUUAUAGGAUAUGCCAAUCGGUCAGUGGUGGGCGGUCUCUCACAUACAUUGUCUCUCAAGUAGGGCUGCAAAUGAGACGAGUUCGAGCGAGUUGGACUUGACUCAGCUCAACUCAUAUUAAAAUUCGAGCAAGCUCAAACUGAGUGAAGCUCAAGGUCAAGCUGUAGAACAUGACUCAUGCUCAACUUGUAACGAUCUCGAGUCGAUCUCGAGCUAGUUUCGAGUUAAAUGAGAUGAUAAAAUUUAUAAAUUUUAUGACCAUUAUUCCAACUAGAUAAGCACAACAUGACAUAAAAAAGCACAAAAAAUAUUAUUCCAAUCAGAACAAUGAUAAUACAAUUUUCUUUUGAAAUGAUACAAAUUUUGUUAGAAGUAGUUUAACUUAUUCUAUCACAACCGAAAGUCUAGUAUCAACGUAAGAUAACGAUUCACGACAUAUAUAUAAUUGCGAAAACGAAGGUGCAUAUGCUGGGAACUUUUGCUAGAAACAACAAAAUAUUUAACACAUGGUCGACCACAUACCAUAAUAAGGCCUAAAUUUUCUCUACAACUAAUUAAGCUUCGAUGUUUGUUUGUAAAUGAAAUGGAGAAAAAUCCUGGAUGGCACAUAUGGUAUUAAAUUAUCAUAUUUUCAUUUAUUAUAUGGCAUGAUCAUUUAACAUAAUGAUAUUAUGCCGAGCUAUCGAGCUAAAACCGAGCGAGCCAGUAUUGGCUCAAGAUCGGCCCGUUUCUCGACUGAGCUAUAGAAAGUGUUUGUACUCAACUCGUUUCUUUUCAAGUCGAGUCAAAAAUCGAGUCGAUCUCGAGCCGCUCACGAGCCUCAAGCUUUUCUUACAGCCCUACUCUCAAGCAGUGUCAUGUUGAGACAACUCAAUCAUCCUACUUUCCAUCCCAUAUGAGCGGCAGAUAACGGAAAGACAUUAAUAUCACAAGGCCUGGACCGGAGGCAAUAAGUUGUAUGGACAACCAUGAAGCCUAGAAUAAUUAUGUUCCUCUCAUGAUAUCGAUGCCCUGGCACCUGGAGGUCUCUCGAUUUGCGCCUCGAGUUGAACUUCUCCAACUACACCAAUUGAUCGGAUGGCUCCAAUCACUAAAUUACCGCAAGAGUAAAUAAUACCAUGAAGAGGAAAAACAGGAAUAGACGAUGCAUAUCAAAUAACCGCUUACUAGCUGACCGACCCAUAGCCAACGAUUACUCAAAUAACAUCACAUAUAAAAGGGUUUAAGAGUUGUUACAACCCAUUACGGAGACUGUGAUGGGGGACGAGAAGGGGUAUGGGUGAGGGCGGAGUGGCGACGGCGGCGCUUCUCCAGCAUUGCCUCCUUCAAGGUUGCAAUGAUGGAGAUGGAGGCUUGGCACAGCCCUCAAGUGUUUUUUUAUGUCGAUGGCAGCUGGACGUAUGGAUCGUGUCCCCGAGUGGCUAGGGUUGGAGGUGUAUUUAUAAGAACUCUCCCAAAGCCUCCUUCGUUGAUGUAGCAUCUCUACUUUGAUCCAAGUGCUCUACGUGAGCCAAAUAUUUCCCAAAACCUCCCUUGAUGGCAAAGAAAGUAGUAGGAACGAACCGGGACAAAAUCCUCAAAGAAUCCCCGUCUGAAAGGGCAACUUUCGGGCUUGUCUAGGCGUAAUACGAGCACUGGUACAUCCUUUUUUUUAUGUAUCAAAGGUCGUUGAACGCUUUGGACUCUUUGGUAAAACCGCCGUAACUUUUACAUCCGGACUCUAUUUUUGACGUUCAUGUGCUCGUUGGAAUCACGAUAACGGCGCCGAUGCACCUGUGGUAUUACAUAUUGAUUUUGAGCACUUUGGAAAACAACUUUUUUCACUCUCCGAAAUGCCCAAGUCUGGUGUCUCGAUGUCCUUCGUUUGGAUCCUUUUCAUUGUGUUAAGUGCGUGAGAGUUCCACAUUACGUACAAACACACAAAGAAAAAUAAUACUAAUAAGAAUAAAUAUUAUGCAAUGCUCGCGCUGAAAAUGUUAAAUACUGCCAUACUGGAGAUCAUGCAUAUGGACAUGCAAUUGUGGCUCAAUGGCACAUGCUAUACGGAGAUAAUAGGCGACAAAUGAGCUCUAAACGUGUGUAAAAAUAGGUGCCAUCACUUGGAUCAACGAGAUAUUAUCUUGUGGAACACCUUCCAUCCUUUUGAAGGGUGUGCCUAGUAGGUAAUUCCAAUGAAAACAUGGGAUCCACCAGGGUGACCCACCGUUACCACUUCUAUUUUUCUUGGCAGUGGAUUUACUUCAGUCUAUCCUCAGUGACAUGUAUCAUCGUGGGGAGCUCUUUUUUUCAACCCAUCUCAUGAUCUAGACUCUCCAAUUGUGCAGUAUGUUAAUGAUAUGUUGUUGAUUAUGCUGGAUAUUGAUUCUCAGCUUAUUGACCUAAAAGAAAUGUUACAACUUUUGUCUAAAUCCACUUGCUUGAAAGUGAUUUUUUGUAAAUCCUCCAUGGUUCUUAUAAAUGUGAUUGACGAUGAAGCUUCUCAUUGUCCAGUUUGUUUGAGUGUUAACAGGGUAAGAUGCCUUUCACUUACCUGGUUUACCUAUGGUUAACACUAGGCCCAAGAUCUAGGACUUAAUGCCUUUGGUUGAUAUAAUGAAAAUGAAAUUGGCAGCUAGCUCUUCUAUGCUCUCACAAGGUGCUAAAUUGAAACUUUUGAGGUCUGCCAUUUCAUCUAUGCCGAUAUACUAUCUUUGUAGUCUCUAGACUCCCCCUGGAAUUAAACAACUGGAGAGAAUUGAGUAGAAUAUCUCUGGCGUGGCAAUGCUGAUAGCUCAAAUCAACCAUUCGUGAUAUGUCAUCUGGUAUGUAAACCAAAGGAGAAUGGUGGUAUCGGUAUCAUUAACCGUCAUAUUCAAGACCAACCUUUGCUUACAAAACACUUGCGCAAAUUUCAUAAUAAAGCUCAUAUUCCAUGGGUAACUUUGAUAUAGAUUUCUUACUAUCAUGGAGUCAUACCCGACGCAACAGUCCUUUGUGGCUCUUUCUGAUGGAGGGAUAUUUUGGAACUUAACGAUCAGUACAUGGCAAUCUCUUCAAUCAAAGUUAAUAUUGGCAACUUUGCCUUGUUCUUGUCUGAUGCUUGGUUGAUUGAGGGAUUUUCUCUACCUCUUCGACAUCGUUUGGAUAGGCUCUUUUCAUUGCCUUGGAUGACAAAAUUUCUGUUAAAGAUUUUAAAGAAACCCCUGAUCGGGCCACUCUUUUGCACCAGCCAUUUUUUGCUGAGGCGAUGGAUGAAUCGCAACCUCUGGAUGGUUGGUUACACAGCCUUCAGCGAAACCAAACCCUGCCUGAUGUUUGUUCUUGGUAAGGAGGGUCAUUUUCCGCCAAAAUCUUCUACUGCAUGAUGCACAAGCAUAUGCCCACCGAUGAACCUUGCAAAUGGAUAUGACAGAGCACCAUGAAGAUCAAGAUCUUUGCUUAGAUCCUAUUAUUUUAUCAGUUGAACGCUCGGAACAUGCUCCUUAGAAGGCACUGACAUUCUCCUCGGGAUGAAACCCAUUGUGCUCACAUGAGCAAAGAGACCACUUGCUUUUCUCCUAUAAUUUUAGUCAAAGGAUUUGGACUUAUUUACAGAUUGAUUGGAGCCCCAGACGAAACACUAGACAAUGUAUUGAUGCUGCAUGUAGACGAUUUGGACACCCUUUCUUCUUUGAAGUGGUGUUCUCUUGGAACUAAUAUUUGUAUUAUUACAAAUGGCAAGAUCUUCACAGGGGAGAGGCCAUCCUUUCCUGCUUGGUGUUGUAAAUUUGUACAUGACAUCUCUUCUUGUAGAUAGAGUUAAUGCUUACCAAAGCUCCUGGAUUGGAUUAGUAAUCUCCAUUAGAUAAAUAGGUAGGUAGGAAAGUGUUGUUUUUCCUUUUUUCUUGGUUCCCUUUGUAAACAUUUUUUGCUUGCUUUUGUUUUGAUGGAAUAAAGGACUGGAGCUGUUGCUCCAUACUAGUUACAAAAAUCCGAGUUUUUUCUUGAUUUUUCACUAGUAUGAUUACACUCCUUCACAAAGGAGCUCAUGCAAUGCAUGUUGGAGAUUUAUUUCAAUAGUUCCAUAACAUGUUUUGAAUGCUGUUGCUAUCUAGUUCAGUUAGAUGCUUAUUGUCCAGACCAACAAAAGUUCUUUAGUAAGGGUCUCUACAAGAAUAUGUUUCAUCCUAGUCUACUAGCAAAAACCGAUGUAGAUGCUGGUAGUGACAUGGAAAAGAAACCAUAAUCUUUUUGUAUUGAUAAGUAAAGAAACUGAAAUUUGCAACUGCAAAUCAGGGGAUCUUAAUGUCAAAUACUGAAUGCUUCCACAACUAGUUGUGAGACAUAUUCAUUGCAGUGCCAAAUAAAGAAACUUUUCCUGAAUUAAUAACAGCAAGACAAUGGUCCGCGUGUUUGUAUAUAAUAAAUAUCACACAGGUUUUGUAUAUGUGUAGCCGGUUCUAGAAUUUACAUAUGCAUGCUCGAGAACCUAUGUUCGUACAUACACACACAGACCAUAUAGAAUGAAAAAUAUGCUCUGGUCGUCCAGCAGAGUGGUGGACAAAAGUUAAGUUCACAAAAGACCUUCAUACAUAGGCCAUUGUUUCAACUCGUAGUUUAGGCCUUGCCAGACUCCUCGCAACCCGGUGGCCUGAAGGCGAUGAAGCUGACGCACUGCACCUGGCGCAGGUUGUCGAAGCCGAUGACGCGGACAUAGGCGUCAGGGUACUCCUUCUUGACCUCCUCCACCUCGUUGAGCACCUGUGUGGCGUCGGUGCACCCGAACAUAGGCAGCUUCCACAUUGUCCAGUAUCGACCAUCGUAGUACCCGGGGGAGCUGUUGUGCUCACGGAAAACGAAGCCAACCUUGCUGAACUCGAGGCAGGGCACCCACUUGGAGCGGAUCAAGUAGUCGACCUGCUUCAGGAGGGCCUCCGUGGAGAGGGGUGGCAAGUAAGACAGGGUCUCGAACUUCUUGAUGCCCUCAAUCGGCCACACCUGAAUGAAUAGAAUGCGCAGAUGCUCAAUACUUGGUGCUAAGUAAAUUAAUUGUACCAACAAUUCUAGAAAAAUCUGUUGAUGAGCAAAAAAUUGCUCCUGAUGGACAGGUCUCAUAUGCAUUGUUCGUUUGUCCACAAUGAAGAAAGCUUAAGGGUAGCCCUUAAACUGAUGGGCACUCUGAAGGUACUAAGAUAAUUUUAUCUAGUCCAUGCUGCAAUAAAAAGUAUUUCCAUUCACUAAGUUAUGAGUUGAUUGCUUUUACAUACGGAUCCCAGCUUAGGGACAAGGUUGAAUGAGCAUCCAAAGCCAAAUGGUUUCCAUAGGCAACAAAACAAACAGAUAAUAAGGUUUCGGAAUAAUCUGUUGACCAAAUUAUGUUAUAAAUUGGGGAUGUUCUGCAAGUGAAUUACUUGUACUGCCAAAGAAACUCAUGUCAGUUUAAUUAGUGACUGACAUACCUGCAUGCACCUGAUCCUUCCGCCGUUGCUGACGCUGCCGAGGCCGGCGCUGCUGGAGCGGCGGCUGACGGGCAGGCCCGCGGUGGACUUGAGACCCUGGAAGGGUGCGACGGAGGUGGCCGAGGAAGCCAUCACAGUGGGGGCCAUGGUGUUGGAGGAGGGAAGGUGGCAGGCUAAGCUUGAGGCCCCCAUUGCUGGGUCACCACGGUAUAUAUAGCCAUAUAUGGCCAGCUCCUAUCUUUAAUCAAGAUGUGGAAGGGGUGGCUGGCGUUCGUUGGUUGCCUGGUUUCCUUAUCUCUCCGGAUUAGUGUAAGAGGCAUGGCCGUUGGAUGAGUUGUGUGUGCCGAAAAUUUCAGUCGUCCAUGCCAUUGUGUGAUUGCCACAAACCCUUUUUCCAGCCUUGCAUGUACUGUAUUAUUCUUUUCGUUUUAUUUUGCUAAAGGUAACGCUUGAAAGGUGCAGGAAGAACUUCCUUUGCUGAUUUGCGAUUUAAGUUGAGUGGCACAGGCAUAACGAAUGUUAUAGUACAUCCUUUAUCCACUUCUAUAAUACAAACUUGUCAAUCAAUUAUGCUUGCUUGUAACCUUUGGCGCUUCAUUUUAUAAAAUUUUAUACAGGUAACGUACACAUUUGCUGCAUGUGUGAUGUGUGUCAUCAUGACCUUUAUGUCUUUUAUUCACAAUUAUUCAUUGGAACACAAAAGUGUUGUACUGUUUUCUACGCCUAAUCAUUUACAUGCCCUGGAGGAUUUUUAGUAUUGGAAAUGCUAUUUAAUUGGGUGUCCAAGCAAGGUAGAACUUUGUUCUAAUCCACGAGCAAAAGUUUUAGAUCCCUCUGUUGUCCAUUUACUCAGUUCGUGUCGGCCCCAGUGAACUCAUAAAUUACAUAUGGUGAGUCCAUCAUGAUUUUGUAUCAUCGUUGAAUCUAGCCCACAAAAAAGGCAGAUGUAUAUUCAUUCAUUUCAUGGUGAUGAAGCAACCUGCAAAAUGAUGCGAUCGACCAUGACCACUCAGUGAUAUGGCAAUCAUGUAGACGGACAUUGUGAUCAUCUAGUCAUUUAAGAUAGAUGUCGUGAUCUUCUUGUGUGACCGUCUCAUAGAUUUGAGCUGCAAAUCGAAUCUUAUAUUCUUCCAAAAAAAAUUCUGAAUUUCCUGCAUGUAAGAUGAUAAAGCUGAGUUUGUAAUUAAUUAUUUUUUGUGAAUCCUUAAUGAUAAUUAACACGACCCAGAUAUUACAAAAUAUCCAUAAUUAUCAUGACUGAAUCAAUAAAUUACUAUUGCAGAAUGAACCUUCCAUAGGCCCCUCCACUUGGGCCCGCCGGUGGAGAGAUUCAUCACUCAUGGGCCACAAAACGCCAGCCAUGCAGGAGGACCUUCACUAACGGGCCCUUAAGUUGGCAUCAAUGGAGGGUCACCCAUGGGGCCCAUAGAUCCAACUGAAUGGACGGUCCAUCUCUACUGACGGUCGUACCACACCACUCGUCAAUGUUGGGUGGCCCGUCGGUGCUGAAUUAAGGUAUUUCUAUCUACUGGAGACGAAGUGGCCUUAUAUGCGCUUUCUCUUUUCUCCUAAACAAAACCAUGCCGCCGCCCCCAAUCCCUUCAUCCCCAACAUCAUCACCACCCUAUCCAAUGUUUUCGUCUCCUUUCAUGUGUGCCCCCUCCUUCUCCCACAUUGAUCUGGUCCAACGCUACCGUCUCAUCCCGCGAUUAUCGUCAUCUACUCUUCGGUUACUCGUGACGGCGCGGGUUGUGGCUUCCCGCUUGCUCUCUCGUAAGAAUGGUUGGGUAAACCCCAAGUGUAAGGAUGAAGUAACCUAGUAAUAAGUAUUGUCCUCAAUACGUUUCUCAAACCAGUAGGAAUUUCUUCUACAACCCAAAUCCUCGGUACCUGCACACCAAACACAAAACAAUCUUGCCCCAACGUUUCAAGAAGGUUGUCAAUCUUCUUGUCCUACUAGUUACAAGGAUUAGUUGUUAGUUGAAAGCAAAUAUCGGUUGCUAAGUAGCCUUAGUGCGGUUCGCACCUUUAGACCUGCCAUGGCACUGUCAACACUAUACUCGCCAUGCUUAGGGUUCACACUUUUUAUAUACACCAAGAUCAGCCUAGGUGCUUCGUGUCGUACUAGCACUAAUCCAGCCAUCAAUAUAAAGGAAAUGCUACCCAUAGUUCCAAAGCUUAGUUAUUCAAAUAUGAGUCAGAUAUGGUACUAAUAUUAGUUUAAAAAAGGCACAUGUAGUUGGUCAGCCAAUGUUCCUUCUUGAGUUUCAAAAUACACGUACGCCACUUAAAGAGAGACAUGAGUGAAUAGUAUUUCUUUGUGCCAUCUUCUCCAUCAUGGAUGGGCAACGAACAUUGCGUUGUAUAGAAAGAAGAGUUAUAUCCACCUUUUACAUAGAUUAUGAUUUGCCUAAUUUCGAAGCUUAUUUGUUCAAAUAUGAGUUUGAUAUGGUACUGAUAUUAAUUAAACAAACACACAUUUAAUUGUCAGCUAAUGUUCCUACUUCAGUUUUGAAAUGCAUGUCCGCCCCUUAUAGAGAGACAGAAGAGGUUUGUAUUUCUCCAGGCGCUCUGGUCAUCAUGGUUGAGGGAUGAACUUUGUAUAUCGUAUAGGUUGAAGCUAUCAUCUGCCAACAAUCAUCACUUUUGGAGAUCUCAACAGGGAGCCUUUUUUAAGUAGUAGGGUCAUAUUAUAUUAAUGCACGCACCAAAUUACAACACACAUAGCAUCCCUCGGCAGACUUCUAGAGAUAGUACGCAUGGGUCUAUAAGGACGCACUAUUGGGGUAGAAUCCGCAAUGCAUUUGUGACACCCCGAUUGAGAGAACCGGAGGUCCUCGUGUUCCAGCCCAGAGAUCCAUGUCUUCUGGAACAUGACUAUAACUUGGUACAUGUAGACCAAAAUAAAUAAGUACUUAUGUACAAUAGCGUCUUAAUAGUACAAUCCUCUUGCACAGCAGGUGGACACGUCUAAGUGUCAGAAGCUCAAGGGCUUUAUUCUAUGAGUGACUUAAGGAAGUACUAAAGACGGAAAUAAUACUAAUGACACAACGGAAGACGGGGUACCGGCGGGGCUCCAAUCCAAAGAGACACUGCUGGGACACCAUCUAGUCCAGGUACAUGAACUCUUCGGGAAACUCUUCUAUUGGCUCUCCAGUAUCUGGAAUGAUAAGGCAGGUGAGUACUUUGAAUGUACUCACAAGCCCACAAAUAAUCCAAAGCAAGCAAGAACAGAACAAAUAAACAUAGCAACGAAGUAAAGAUUAGUGAAGCUACUACUAUCAAGACUACUCCAUAAACUUCUCAUUUGCUUGUUUAACGUCCACUGGACCUCUUCCUGGUGAAGGAAAUAUGCCCUAGAGGCAAUAAUAAAGUUAUUAUUUAUUUCCUUAUAUCAUGAUAAAUAUUUAUUAUUCAUGCUAGAAUUGUAUUAACCGGAAACAUAAUACAUGUGUGAAUAUAUAGACAAACAGAGUGUCACUAGUAUGCCUCUACUUGACUAGCUCGUUAAUCAAAGAUGGUUAUGUUUCCUAGCCAUAGACAUAAGUUGUCAUUUGAUUAACGAGAUCACCUCAUUAGGAGAAUGACGUGAUUGACUUGACCCAUUCCGUUAGCUUAGCACCCGAUCGUUUAGUAUGUUGCUAUUGCUUUCUUCAUGACCUAUACAUGUUCCUCUGACUAUGAGAUUAUGCAACUCCCGUUUACCGGAGGAACACUUUGUGUGCUACCAAACGUCACAAUGUAAAUGGGUGAUUAUAAAGGUGCUCUACAGGUGUCUCCAAAGGUACUUGUUGGGUUGGCGUAUUUCGAGUUUAGGAUUUGUCACUCCGAUUGUCGGAGAGGUAUCUCUGGGCCCACUCGGUAAUGCACAUCACUAUAAGCCUUGCAAGCAUUGUGACUAAUAAGUUAGUUGCGGGAUGAUGUGUUACGGAACGAGUAAAGAGACUUGCCGGUAACGAGAUUGAACUAGGUAUCGAGAUACCGACGAUCGAAUCUCGGGCAAGUAACAUACUGAUGACAAAGGGAACAACGUAUGUUGUUAUACGGUCUGACCGAUAAAGAUCUUCGUAGAAUAUGUGGGAGCCAAUAUGGGCAUCCAGGUCCCGCUAUUGGUUAUUGACCGAAGACGUGUCUCGGUCAUGUCUACAUAGUUCUCGAACCCGUAGGGUCCGCACGCUUAAAGUUACGAUGACAGUUUUAUUAUGAGUUUAUGUAUGUUGAUGCACCGAAGGAGUUCGGAGUCCCGGAUGAGAUCGGGGACAUGACGAGGAGUCUCGAAAUGGUCGAGACGUAAAGAUCGAUAUAUUGGACGACUAUAUUCGGACUUCGGAAAGGUUCUGAGUGAUUCGGGUAUUUUUCGGAGUACCGGAGAGUUACGGGAAUACGUAUUGGGCCUUAUUGGGCCAUACGGGAAAGAAGAAAAAGGGCCUCAAGGGUGGCCGCACCCCUCCCCUUGGUCUGGUCCGAAUUGGACUAGGGAAGCGGGGCGCCCCCUUCCUUCCUUCUCUUUUUCCCUUCCUCUUUUCCUAUUCCAUAUGGGAGGUGGAAUCCUACUAGGACUAGGGAGUCCUAGUAGGACUCCACACUUGGUGCGCCCCCUCCUAGGGCCGGCCUCCUCCUCCCUUGCUCCUUUAUAUACGGGGGCAGGGGGGCACCCCAGAGACACAACAAUUGAUCCUUGAGAUCUUUUAGCCGUGUGCGGUGCCCCCCUCCACCAAAUUACACCUCGAUAAUAUCAUUGCGGAGCUUAGGCAAAGCCCUGCGUCGGUAGAACAUCAUCAUCGUCACCACGCCGUCGUGCUGACGAAACUCUCCCUCAACACUCGGCUGGAUCGGAGUUCGAGGGACGUCAUCGAGCUGAACGUGUGCAGAACUCGGAGGUGCCGUGCGUUUGGUACUUGAUCGGUCGGAUCGUGAAGACGUACGACUACAUCAACCACGUUGUGAUAACGCUUCCGCUGUCGGUCUACGAGGGUACGUGGACAACACUCUCCCCUCUCGUUGCUAUGCAUCGCCAUGAUCUUGCGUGGGCGUAGGAAUUUUUUUGAAAUUACUACGUUCCCCAACAGUGGCAUCCGAGCCUGGUUUUAUGCGUUGAUGCUAUGCACGAGUAGAACACAAGUGAGUUGUGGGCGAUAUAAGUCAUACUGCUUACCAGCAUGUCAUACUUUGGUUCAGCGGUAUUGUGAGAUGAAGCGGCCCGGACCGACAUUACGCGUACGCUUACGCGAGACUAGUUUCACCGUUCGGAGCACUCGUUGCUUAAAGGUGACUGGCGGGUGUCUGUCUCUCUCACUUUAGUUGAACCGAGUGUGGCUACGCCCGGUCCUUGCGAAGGUUAAAACAGCACCAACUUGACAAACUAUCGUUGUGGUUUUGAUGCGUAGGUAAGAACGGUUCUUGCUAAGCCCGUAGCAGCCACGUAAAACUUGCAACAACAAAGUAGAGGACGUCUAACUUGUUUUUGCAGGGCAUGUUGUGAUGUGAUAUGGUCAAGACAUGAUGUGAUAUAAUGUGUUGUAUGAGAUGAUCAUGUUUUGUAACCGAGUUAUCGGCAACUGGCAGGAGCCAUAUGGUUGUCGCUUUAUUGUAUGAGAUGCAAUCGCCAUGUAAUAGUUUUACUUUAUCACUAAACGGUAGCGAUAGUCGUAAAAGCAAUAAGUUGGCGAGACGACAACGAUGCUACGAUGGAGAUCAAGGUGUCGCGCCGGUGACGAUGGUGAUCAUGACGGUGCUUCGGAGAUGGAUAUCACAAGCACGGUGCUUCGGAGAUGGAGAUCACAAGCACAAGAUGAUGAUGGCCAUAUCAUAUCACUUAUAUUGAUUGCAUGUGAUGUUAAUCCUUUAUGCAUCUUAUCUUGCUUUGAUUGACGGUAGCAUUAUAAGAUGAUCUCUCACUAAAAUUUCAAGAUAAAAGUGUUCUCCCUGAGUAUGCACCGUUGCAAAAGUUCUUCGUGCUGAGACACCACGUGUUAAUCGGGUGUGAUAGGCUCUACGUUCAAAUACAACGGGUGCAAAACAGUUGCACACGCGGAAUACUCAGGUUAAACUUGACGAGCCUAGCAUAUACAGAUAUGGCCUCGGAACACAGAGACCGAAAGGUCGAGCGUGAAUCAUAUAGUAGAUAUGAUCAACGUAGUGAUGUUCACCAUUGAAACUACUCCAUCUCACGUGUUAAUCGGAUAUGGUUUAGUUGCUUUGGAUCACGUAAUCACUUAGAUGAUUAGAGAGAUGUCUAUCUAAGUGGGAGUUCUUAAGUAAUAUGAUUAAUUGAACUUAAAUUUAUCAUGAACUUAGUCCUGAUAGUAUUUUGCAAAUUAUGUUGUAGAUCAAUAGCUCGCGUUGUUGCUUCCCUGUGUUUAUUUUUUGUUCCUAGAGAAAAAUUAUGUUGAAAGAUGUUAGUAGCAAAGAUGCGGAUUGGAUCCGUGAUCUGAGGAUUAUCCUCAUUGCUGCACAGAAAAAUUAUGUCCUUGAUGCACCGCUAGGUGACAGACCUAUUGCAGGAGCAGAUGCAGACGUUAUGAACGUUUGGCUAGCUCAAUAUGAUGACUACUUGAUAGUUUAGUGCACCAUGCUUAACGACUUAGAAUCGGGACUUCAAAGACGUUUUGAACGUCAUGGACCAUAUGAGAUGUUCCAGGAGUUGAAGUUAAUAUUUCAAGCAAAUACCCGAGUUGAGAGAUAUGAAAUCUCCAACAAGUUCUAUAGCAAAAAGAUGGAGGAGAAUCGCUCAACUAGUGAGCAUGUGCUCAGAUUGUCUGGGUACUACAAUCGCUUGAAUCAAGUGGGAGUUUAUCUUCCAGAUAAAAUAGUGAUUGACAGAAUUCUCUAGUCACCAUCACCAAGUUAGUAGAACUUCGUGAUGAACUAUGGUAUGCAAGGGAUGACGAAAGUAAUUCCCGAGCUCUUCGUGAUGCUGAAAUCGAUGAAGGUAGAAAUCAAGAAAAACAUCAAGUGUUGAUGGUUGACGAGACCACUUCAAGUGUUGAUGGUUGACGAGACCGCUAGUUUCAAGAAAAGGGCAAAGGGAAAAAGGGGAACUUCAAAAAGAACGGCAAGCAAGUUGCUGCUCAAGUGAAGAAGCCUAAGUCUGGUCCUAAGCCUGAGACUAAGUACUUCUACUGCAAAGGGACUGGUCACUGGAAGCGGAACUACCCCAACUAUUUGGUGGAUAAGAAGGAUGGCAAAGUGAACAAAGGUAUAUUUGAUAUACAGAUUAUUGAUGUGUACUUUACUAGUGUUUAUAGCAAUCCCUCGGUAAUUGAUACUGGUUCAAUUGCUAAGAGUAGUAACUCGAAACGGGAGUUGCAGAAUAAACAGAGACUAGUAAAAGUGAACAAAGGUAUAUUUGAUAUACAGAUUAUUGAUGUGUACUUUACUAGUGUUUAUAGCAACCCCUCGGUAAUUGAUACUGGUUCAGUUGCUAAAGAGUAGUAACUCGAAAACGGGAGUUGCAGAAUAAACAGAGACUAGUAAAAGGCGAGGUGACGAUGUGUGUUGGAAGUAGUUCCAAGAUUGAUAUGAUCAUCAUCGCACACUCCCUGUACUUUUGGGAUUAGUGUUGACACUAAAUAAGUGUUAUUUGGUGUUUGCGUUGAGCAUGAAUAUGAUCUGAUCAUGUUUAUUGCAAUACGGUUAUUCAUUUAAGUUAGAGAACAAUUGUUGUUCUGUUUACAUGAAUAAAACCUUUAUGGUCAUACACACCAACGAAAAUGGUUUGUUGGAUCUCGAUCGUAGUGAUACACAUAUUCAUAAUAUUGAAGCCAAAAGAUGCAAAGUUAAUAAUGAUAGUGCAACUUAUUUGUGGUACUGCCGUUUAGGUCAUAUUGGUGUAAAGCGCGUGAAGAAACUCCAUACUGAUGGGAUUUUGGAAUCACUUGAUUAUGAAUCACUUGAUGCUUGCGAACCGUGCCUCAUGGGCAAGAUGACUAAAACGCCGUUCUCCAGAACUAUGGAGAGAGCAACAGAUUUGUUGGAAAUCAUACAUACAGAUGUAUGUGGCCCGAUGAAUAUUGAGGCUCGUAGCAGGUAUCAUUAUUUUCUGACCUUCACAGAUGAUUUGAGCAGAUAUGGGUAUAUCUACUUAAUGAAACAGAAGUCUGAAACAUUUGAAAAGUUCAUAUAAUUUCAGAGUGAAGCGAAAAUCAUCGUAACAAGAAAAUAAAGUUUCUACGAUUUGAUCGUGGAGAAGAGUAUUUUAGUUACGAGUUUGGCCUUCAGUUAAAACAAUGUGAAAUAGUUUCACUACUCACGCCACCUGGAACACCACGGUGUAAUGGUGUGUCCGAAACAUCGUAACCGUACUUUAUUAGAUAUGGUGCGAUAUAUGAUGUCUCUUACCGAUCUACCACUAUCGUUUUAGGGUUAUGCAUUAGAGACAGCUACAUUCACGUUAAAUAGGGUAUCAUCUAAAUCCGUUGAGAUGACGUCUUAUGAACUGUGGUUUGGCAAGAAACCAAAGUUGUCGUGUCUUAAAGUUUGGGGUUGCGAUGCUUAUGUGAAAAAGUUUCAUCCUGAUAAGCUCAAACCCAAAUCGGAGAAAUGUGUCUUCAUAGGAUACCCAAAGGAGACAGUUGGGUACACCUUCUAUCACAGAUCCGAAGACAAGACAUUCGUUGCUUAGUAUGGAUCCUUUCUAGAGAAGGAGUUUCUCUCGAAAGAAGUGAGUGGGAGGAAAGUAGAACUUGAUGAGGUAACUGUACCUGCUCCCUUAUUGGAAAGUAGUUCAUCACAGAAAUCUGUUCCUGUGACUUCUACACCAAUUAGUGAGGAAGUUAAUGAUGAUGAUCAUGUAACUUCAGAUCAAGUUACUACCAAACCUCGUAGGUAAACCAGAGUAAGAUCCGCACCAGAGUGGUACGGUAAUCCUGUUCUGGAGGUUAUGUUACUAGACCAUGACGAACCUACGAACUAUGAAGAAGCGAUGGUGAGCCCAGAUUCCGCAAAAUGGCUUGAGGCCAUGAAAUCUGAGAUGAGAUCCAUGUAUGAGAACAAAGUGUGGACUUUGGUUGACUUGCCCGAUGAUCGGCAAGCAAUUGAGAAUAAAUGGAUCUUCAAGAGGAAGACGGAUGCUGAUAGUAGUGUUACUAUCUACAAAGCUAGAAUUGUCGCAAAAAAGGUUUUCGACAAGUUCAAAGUGUUGACUACGAUGAAAGUUUCUCACUCGUAUCUAUGCUUAAGUCUGUCCGAAUCAUGUUAGCAAUUGCCGCAUUUUAUAAAAUAUGGCAAAUGGAUAAACAAAACUGCAUUCCUUAAAGGAUUUAUUAAAGAAGAGUUGUAUAUGAUGCAACCAGAAUGUUUUGUCAAUCCUAAAGGUGCUAACAAAAUAUGCAAGCUCCAGCGAUCCAUCAAUGGACUGGUGCAAGCAUCUCGGAGUUGGAAUAUACGCUUUGAUAAGUUGAUCAAAGCAUAUAGUUGUAUACAGACUUGCGGUGAAGCCUGUAUUUACAAGAAAGUGAGUGGGAGCACUACAGCAUUUCUGAUAAGUAUAUGUGAAUGACAUAUUGUUGAUCGGAAAUAAUGUAGAAUUAUUCUGCAAAGCAUAAAGGAGUGUUUGAAAGGAGUUUUUCAAAGAUAGACCUCGGUGAAGCUGCUUACAUAUUGAGCAUCAAGAUCUAUAGAGAUAGAUGAAGACGCUUGAUAAGUUUUUCAAUGAGUACAUACCUUAACAAGAUUUUGAAGUAGUUCAAAAUAGAACAGUCAAAGAAAAGAGUUCUUGCCUGUGUUACAAGGUGUGAAAUUGAGUAAAGACUCAAAGCCCGACCACGGCAAAAGAUAGGAAGAGAAUGAAAGUCAUUCCCUAUGCCUUGGCCAUAGGUUCUAUAAAGUAUGUCAUGCUUUGUACCAGAUCUAUUGUAUACCCUACACUGAUUUUGGCAAGGGAGUACAAUAGUGAUCUAGGAGUAGAUCACUGGACAGCGGUCAAAAUUAUCCUUACUGGAAUAAGGAUAUGUUUCUCGAUUAUGGAAGUGACAAAAGGCUCGUCGUAAAAGGUUACGUCGAUGCAAGUUUUGACACUAAUCUAGAUGACUCUAAGUCUCGGUCUAGAUACAUAUUGAAAGUGGGAGCAAUUAGCUAGAGUAGCUCCAUGCAGAGCAUUGUAGACAUAGAAAUUUGCAAAAUACUUACGGAUCUGAAUGUGACAGACCCGUUGACUAAAAUUAUCUCACAAGCAAAACAUGAUCACACCUUAGUACUCUUUGGGUGUUAAUCACAUAGCGAUGUGAACUAGAUUACUGACUCUAGUAAACCCUUUGGGUGAUGGUCACAUGACGAUGUGAACCAUGGGUGUUAAUCACAUGGUGAUGUGAACUAUUCAUGUUAAAUCACAUGGCGAUGUGAACUAGAUUAUUGACUCUAGUGCAAGUGGGAGACUGAAGGAAAUAUGCCCUAGAGGCAAUAAUAAAGUUAUUAUUUAUUUCCUUAUAUCAUGAUAAAUGUUUAUUAUUCAUGCUAGAAUUGUAUUAACCGGAAACAUAAUACAUGUGUGAAUAUAUAGACAAACAGAGUGUCACUAGUAUGCCUCUACUUGACUAGCUCGUUAAUCAAAGAUGGUUAUGUUUCCUAGCCAUAGACAUAAGUUGUCAUUUGAUUAACGAGAUCACCUCAUUAGGAGAAUGACGUGAUUGACUUGACCCAUUCCGUUAGCUUAGCACCCAAUCGUUUAGUAUGUUGCUAUUGCUUUCUUCAUGACCUAUACAUGUUCCUCUGACUAUGAGAUUAUGCAACUCUCGUUUACCGGAGGAACACUUUGUGUGCUACCAAACGUCACAACGUAAAUGGGUGAUUAUAAAGGUGCUCUAUAGGUGUCUCCAAAGGUACUUGUUGGGUUGGCGUAUUUCGAGAUUAGGAUUUGUCACUCCGAUUGUCGGAGAGGUAUCUCUGGGCCCACUCGGUAAUGCACAUCACUAUAAGCCUUGCAAGCAUUGUGACUAAUGAGUUAGUUGCGGGAUGAUGUGUUACGGAACGAGUAAAGAGACUUGCCGGUAACGAGAUUGAACUAGGUAUCGAGAUACCGACGAUCGAAUCUCGGGCAAGUAACAUACUGAUGACAAAGGGAACAACGUAUGUUGUUAUGCGGUCUGACCGAUAAAGAUCUUCGUAGAAUAUGUGGGAGCCAAUAUGGGCAUCCAGGUCCCGCUAUUGGUUAUUGACCGGAGACGUGUCUCGGUCAUGUCUACAUAGUUCUCGAACCCGUAGGGUCCGCACGCUUAAAGUUACGAUGACAGUUUUAUUAUGAGUUUAUGUAUGUUGAUGUACCGAAGGAGUUCGGAGUCCCGGAUGAGAUCGGGGACAUGAUGAGGAGUCUCGAAAUGGUCGGGACGUAAAGAUCGAUAUAUUGGACGACUAUAUUCGGACUUCGGAAAGGUUCUGAGUGAUUCGGGUAUUUUUCGGAGUACCGGAGAGUUACGGGAAUACGUAUUGGGCCUUUUUGGGCCAUACGGGAAAGAAGAAAAAGGGCCUAAGGGUGGCCGCACCCCUCCCCUUGGUCUGGUCCGAAUUGGACUAGGGAAGGGGGGCGCCCCCUUCCUUCCUUCUCUUUUUCCCUUCCUCUUUUCCUAUUCCAUAUGGGAGGUGGAAUCCUACUAGGACUAGGGAGUCCUAGUAGGACUCCACACUUGGUGCGCCCCUCCUAGGGCCGGCCUCCUCCUCCCUUGCUCCUUUAUAUACGGGGGCAGGGGGGCACCCCAGAGACACAACAAUUGAUCCUUGAGAUCUUUUAGCCGUGUGCGGUGCCCCCCUCCACCAAAUUACACCUCGAUAAUAUCAUUGCGGAGCUUAGGCAAAGCCCUGCGUCGGUAGAACAUCAUCAUCGUCACCACGCCGUCGUGCUGACGAAACUCUCCCUCAACACUCGGCUGGAUCGGAGUUCGAGGGACGUCAUCGAGCUGAACGUGUGCAGAACUCGGAGGUGCCAUGCGUUCGGUACUUGAUCGGUCGGAUCGUGAAGACGUACGACUACAUCAACCGCGUUGUGAUAACGCUUCCGCUGUCGGUCUACGAGGGUACGUGGACAACACUCUCCCCUCUCGUUGCUAUGCAUCACCAUGAUCUUGCGUGUGCGUAGGAAUUUUUUUGAAAUUACUACGUUCCCCAACACCUGGCACGAGUCCUGCUCAAACGACUCAUCGACAUAACUUACCAGUUACCACAGCUAUUAGAGUUUAAAGUAAAGGAAUUUUGGUGCUUGGUCAAAUAAUGUGACCUAACACAAACGGUGUCCCAUUGCCAGGGACUCGGCUAUUCGAAUAGUUUGAACACACACUCUGUAGAGGUCACACAGUUUACCCACACCAUAGACUCUUUGUCUAACUAUUCUCAUUCAUAGCAUGGCACUCUAACUAUGCCUCCGACCUCCCGCGGGCUUGCCCUGGCAGAGAGAAUCUGGGUCCUUUCCACCCCGUGUUGCACCACUUGUAUUCCCUUGGGAAUCUUUUCUCUUAAGCUCAUCCACAGACCCUGGCUCUCUUGACUGAAUGGCAACUUCCAAGCCAGAGGAAGUCUACACAUUCCAUCUUCCCUCUUCGGAAACACACGAAAGAAACAUAACUACAAACGUAAUAAAGCCCUCCCAUUCGGACAGAUGUGCUUGUAAUGAGGAUGUUCGGCUUCGUGGCAGUUGGAUUGACCAGCUAUUUAAAGUUGGGUUAACAAGGAAAGUAAAACCGUGACUUUGUAAGCUACUGAAAUCCACAACUUGUUAUCCUACUAGGGUGAAGUAUUCACGAGGAUUCAUCAUCCUAAGUAAAGUCUUUCCCCGAGAUUCUUCGUGAACGUUGCUACCUAUUUUGCUUAUGAUUCAUGUUGGCAAAAUAAUUACCGGUUAUGAGUCAUAGUUAAACUUCUAUUCUACUAGGACCAAAUCAAGGCAUCCUUUAUAGUGACUCACUAUGCUAUUUCAACCACAACAAACUUAACAUAAGCAAAGGGAAGCAACAAACAACAUUGAAAGAAAAGUAAUGUUGGAAAAGAAAUGUAAGUUGAACCCAUGGCCUUGCAAUGCCAUCAAGCAAAUGGAGGUGGUGGCUUGCCAUGCUCAAAUGGAGUAGCAAAGCAUUCUUUGUCUUCACCUCCUGGAUUAUUUCCUUCUGGAAAUAAUUUAAAAAGCAAAAUACAAUAAAGCAAAUAAGUCAAAAGUGUGUCUAGCAGCAUCUAGACAAGUCAAAUAAAUCUCAAAUUAUUCCCACAGAAGGAGAAUAAUAUAAGAAAAGUAAUGCAAAAAGAAUAAACUCAUUUGGAGUUAUGGUUUAAGAGAUAUUACUCAUCACAGCUUAGUCAACAGAAUAUAAGUAAAACAAAAAAUAGCCUGAAAUAGAAAAUCCACCAAGCGGCCACGUCGAAGGCGUAUUUCAGAAAUACGCCCCCACUUACGUACCAGUUCGGCAGGGGUUGUAUCACUGACGGGUGGGGCCAUCCUGUCAGUUUUCUUUUUUAAACACCCGGCCGAGGUGUGGUGUUCUAGCGAGGUCUCACCGGCGACUACAGAGCGCUAGGGCUCGAACGAGUGGGAUCACCUUUUGAGAGGUAUACGCAUUUAUUGUGAUUUGUUAGAAUACUCUAUGUGCUUCACUUAUAUCUUUUGAGCUAGGCAGUUGCUCUGGUGCUUCAUUAUAUCUUUUAGAGCACCGUGGUGGUUAUAUUUUAUAGAAAUGAUUGCACUCUCAUGCUUCACUUAAAUCUUUUUGAGAGUCCAUAUAUAGGAAGUGGUAAUGUGCACGUGUUAUAAGACUAGUCCGAGAAGGAUAGGUAUUCAAGGGGGAUACAAUAAAAACUUUCAUGUAGAUCACUAAAUAUGAAAUGUAUAAUUUAAUGAUAUUGAUGUUGUAAUAUGAAAGGAUAUUAGUUCAUGAUCAUUGGUUAGUAGAAAUAUCAGUAUUAAAACUUGUUAUUAACUUCUCAAAUAAGUGUUGGUCAUGGCAUGGUGGCCAGGUUUGAGCAUUUGUAUUUCUGAUUGAAAUCCUUGAGUGCUAUUAUAAUCGGAUGCGCGCGAUGGUUAACUCCUACCAACAAAUUCCCUAGGGGCAUAUGUGAGUAGUACUUUGCUUAGAAGGAUAAUAGGAGUUCACAAUAAGUAUGUCAGUUCUUUAUGACUAAUGUGAGUCCAUGGAUUAUAUGCACUCCUACCUUUCCGCAAUUUGCUAGGCUCUGCUGUACCGUGCAUUGCCCUUUCUCACCUCGAGAGUUGGUGCACACUUCGCUGGUGCAUCCAAACCCCAUGGUAUGAUACGCUCUAUCAUACAUAAGCCUCCUUAUAUCUUCUUCGAAACAGCCGCCAUACCUACCUAUUAUGGCAUUUUCACAACCAUUCCGAGAUAUAUUGCCAUGCAACUUCCACUGUUCCAUUUUCAUAACAUGUGUGUUCAACGUCAUAUUGCUUUGCAUGAUCAUAUAAAGUUGGCAUGAUAUUUGUGGCAUUGUCACCGUUCAUCAUGAUUAUACAUGUUACGCUAGAUCAUUGCACAUCCUGGUACACUAUCAGAGGCAUUAAUAUAGAGUCAUAUUGUUCAAGUUAUCGAGUUGUAUGUAAAUACAAGUGUGAUGAUAAUCAUUAUUAGAGCAUUGUCCCAGUUGAGGAAACGAUGAUGGAGACUAUGAUUCCCGCACAAGUCGGGAUGAGACUCCGGACGAAAAAAAAGAGAGAAAAGAGAGAAGGGGCAAUGUUACUAUCCUUUUUUUUUGCAAGGUAAUGCUACUAUCCUUUUGAACACUUGUGCUUUAGAGUAGCACCAUGUUCUUCACAUAGAGAGUCUCCUGAGUUAUCACUUUCAUAUACUAGUCGUAUUUUUUCAUUAUAGAAUUUGACUUGCAUAUUCUGAUGAUGGGUUUCCUCAAAUGGCCGAGGCCUUCAUGAUCAAGCAAGUUGGAUGCACAUCCACUUAGUUUUCAUUGAGCUUUCAUACACUUAUAGCUCUUAGUUCAUCUAUUGCAUGGCAAUCCCUACUCCUCGCAUUGACAUCGAUUGAUGGGCAUGUCCAUAGCCCGUUGAUUAGCCGCGUCGAUGCGAGACUUUCUUCCUUUUCAACUUUCCUUAUUAAUCUUUAUCACCGCAUUCUAUUCAACUUAUAGUGUUAUAUCCAUGGCUCACGUUCAUGUAUUGCAUAGGAUUGAAAAUGCUGAAGCGCAUUAGAAGUACGAUCCAUUUGCCUUGUUUGACACCGGGGUGCUCAUGAUUUAUAUUUAUGCAGUGAAGGUGGGGUCAUGCCAUGCUAACAUAAUAAAAUGAGUGGGGAAAGCAUUCAUUGAGGAUUGUAUAUUUUAAAAGGUUAAUGAUUAUGUUUCUUAUAUUCAUGGAUAUUAUUAUGUUGACAUUGUUACUUCAUCGUUUCUCAAUAAUUAUACCGUAAAAAUAUUACAUGAUACACAUGUUAGGUAGCAUUUCACAUCAAAAAUUCUUUUUUUAUCAUUUACCUACUCGAGGACGAGAAGGAAUUAAGCUUGAGGAUGCUAAUACGUCUUCAACGUAUCUAUAAUUUUUGAUUGUUAUAUUAUCAAUCUUGGAUGCUUUAUAUGCUUUGUAUGCUAUUUUAUAUCUUUUUGGGACUAACGUAUUAUUUUGAAUAUUUUUUGAAUUGUUUGGAUUGCUUACCACAUGUGUCAUGUGGUUUGGGACUAACCUAUUAACCCAAUGCCAGUGCCAGUUACUGUUUUUUUGCUUGUUUUUGGCUUUUUAGAAAACCAAUACCAAACGAAGUCCAAACACAAUGAAACUUUACGGUGAUUUUUUCUGGACAAGAAGGGACCCUAAAAGGUUCGGGUGGAGGCUAGAAGAUCUACGGGAGAGCCACAAGCUCACAGGGUGCGCCCCCUGAGCUCAUGGGCCGCACGCAGCUCCAUUUGACCUAAUUUCACCUCCAUAAAUUCACAUAUAUUCCCAAACCAAUAGAGAGCCACCCGAAAUACUUUUUCCGCCGCCCAAGCUUCUAUUUUUCCGUGAGCCCAUAUGGAGGCCUUUUCCGGUACUCUGUCGAAGGGGGAAUCGAUCACAGAGCGCUUCUACAUCAUGCUUGCUGUCUUACAAUGAUGCAUGAGUAGUUCACGACAGACCUACGUGUCCAUAACUAGUAGCUAGAUGGCUUCUUAUCUCUCUUUGAUCUUCAAUACAAUGUUGUCCUCGAUCUUCUUGGAGUUCUUGUAAGUGCAUCUAGUGCCACCCCUAGUUGGUUUUGGAGUAUUGCCGACAAACUUGGUUGAGGGACUAAUGUGUUUGUGAGAAUUGCAGGAUAACACAGGUAGUAGUCCCUCAUUGAUUCGGUUUACCUACCAGAGAUGACCCCUAAAAAUGUGUGAAGACAUUGAAGACAAUGGUGGUCUGUGAAGAUAUUCACAUUGAAGACUAUGACAUGAGAAGACAUCGCAUGAAGACUAUGGAGUGCGAAGACAUAGUUGUUUCGUAGUUUCCUUUUCUUCUUUGUUGAGUCAUAGGAACCGCCGUACUGUUAAGUGGGGUCCAAGUGAACAAAGUCCGAGUGACUGAUGUGAUGCUCAACCAAAUCCUAUGUCUUCGAGCGAAGACAAUGAGUGCAAAUCUUAUCCAGAGUUGGAUGAGUCAGCUUUACUUAUAGCACAAGUCAAGCUGCCGCGUGUGUUUGAAAUCUGACUGUUGGACACGUGUCAGUUCCUUAGUGGCCCAGGGUCAUUUUGGACAAAUUAGGUCGGGUUGCCUCCUGGCUAUAAAUAGCCCACCCCCUACACCAUAAAUUGGUGGCUGCUCAUAGUUAGUGCACGGCUUUUGUCGUUUGAGAGCAACCCACCUCCGAAGCAUUUGAGAGAGAGAUCCUUGCGAGGACAAAGCCCAAAACACCCAGAGCCAAAGAGUGUUAGGCAUCACUGAAGUCUUUCUGUCCGCGUGAUCUGAAGACUUGUUACACUUGAGGACUGUGAAUCCUCCAGCCGGUUAGGCGUCGCGUUCUGAGCAUCCAAGAGUCAUUGUGGAUUGCCGGUGAACGAAAUCUAUGAAGGUUUGGAAGUCUACCUUGAAGACUUACCAGAGUGAUUGGGAGAGGACUAAGUGUCCUUAACUCAAGGGGAAUAAGGUGAAGACGCUUUCUUCUGAGUUAAAUCUCAGCCUCCCUAACCAGACGUACAGUUGUCACGGCAACUGGAACUGGUCCAACAAAUCCCUGUCCUCCCCAAGCAACUGGUUCUAUCUCUUAUCUCUCUUUACUUACAGUUUGUCUUCGUGAAGUCAUUACCUGCUUGCAUGAUCUGAUUGUCUUCACUGUGUGAAGACUGCUGUUGUUUGGCUUCAUACUAUCUUCCAUCCUGAUCCAUACUACCUAACUGCUGAUAGUCUUCGUGCUUUCACUUCAUUGCUUACUUGACUAUGGCUUGUCUAGUGUAGUCUACCUUCCGCUGCAUAUCAAUAGGUUCAUUUUUAUUGUUUGUCUUCAAAGCCCCUGUGUUUUGAAGACUUUCAUAAAAAUUGCCUAUUCACGCCCCCCCCCCUCUAGUCGAUAACUAGCACUUUCAGUUCUAUCCGAUGUAAUCUUCUUUUUGUUGGGGAACGUAGCAGAAAUUCAAAAUUUUCUACGCAUCACCAAGAUCAAUCUAUGGAGUACUCUAGCAAAGAAGGGAAGGAGAGUGGAUCUACAUACCCUUGUAGAUCGCGAUGCGGAAGCGUUGCAAGAACGCGGAUGAGGGAGUCGUACUCGUAGCGAUUCAGAUCGCGGUUGAUUCCGAUCUAAGCACCGAAGAACGGUGCCUCCGCGUUCAACACACGUGCAGCCCGGUGACGUCUCCCACGCCUUGAUCCAGCAAGGAGAGAGGGAGAGGUUGGGGAAGACUCCAUCCAGCAGCAGCACGACGGCGUGGUGGUGAUGGAGGAGCGUGGCAAUCCCGCAGGGCUUCGCCAAGCACCGCGGGAGAGGAGGAGGAGGGAGAGGGGUAGGGCUGCGCCAAAAGGAGACUUUCUCGUGUCGUUAUGGCAGCCCAAACCUCAACUAUAUAUAGGGGGGGAGGGGGCUGCGCCCCCCUCUAGGGUUCCCACCCCCAAGAGGAGGCGGCCAGCCCUAGAUCCCAUCAAGGGGGGGCGGCCAAGGGGAGGAGAGGGGGGGCGCCCCACUAGAUGGGCCCUAAGGCCCAUCUGGACCUAGGGUUUGCCCCCUCCCACUCUCCCAUGCGCCUUGGGCCUUGGUGGGGGGGCGCACCAGCCCACCUGGGGCUGGUCCCCUCCCACACUUGGCCCACGCAGCCUUCUGGGGCUGGUGGCCCCACUUGGUGGACCCCCGGGACCCUCCCGAUGGUCCCGGUACAUUACCGAUAACACCCGAAACUUUUCCGGUGACCAAAACAGGACUUCCCAUAUAUAAAUCUUUACCUCCGGACCAUUCCGGAACUCCUCGUGACGUCCGGGAUCUCAUCCGGGAUUUCGAACAACAUUCGGUAACCACGUACAUACUCUCCAUAUAACCCUAGCGUCAUCGAACCUUAAGCGUGUAGACCCUACGGGUUCGGGAACCAUGCAGACAUGACCGAGACGUUCUCCGGUCAAUAACCAACAGCGGGAUCUGGAUACCCAUGUUGGCUCCCACAUGUUCCACGAUGAUCUCAUCGGAUGAACCACGAUGUCGGGGAUUCAAUCAAUCCCGUAUUCAAUUCCCUUUGUCUAUCGAUAUGUUACUUGCCCGAGAUUCGAUCGUCGGUAUCCCUAUACCUUGUUCAAUCUCGUUACCGGCAAGUCUCUUUACUCGUUCCGUAACUCACAUCAUCCCGUGAUCAACUCCUUGGUCACAUUGUGCACAUUAUGAUGAUGUCCUACCGAGUGGGCCCAGAGAUACCUCUCCGUUUACACGGAGUGACAAAUCCCAGUCUCGAUUCGUGCCAACCCAACAGAUACUUUCGGAGAUACCUGUAGUGCACCUUUAUAGUCACCCAGUUACGUUGUGACGUUUGGUACACCCAAAGCAUUCCUACGGUAUCCGGGAGUUGCACAAUCUCAUGGUCUAAGGAAAUGAUACUUGACAUUAGAAAAGCUCUGAGCAAACGAACUACACGAUCUUGUGCUAGGCUUAGGAUUGGGUCUUGUCCAUCACAUCAUUCUCCUAAUGAUGUGAUCCCGUUAUCAACGACAUCCAAUGUCCAUGGUCAGGAAACCGUAACCAUCUAUUGAUCAACGAGCUAGUCAACUAGAGGCUUACUAGGGACAUGGUGUUGUCUAUGUAUCCACACAUGUAUCUGAGUUUCCUAUCAAUACAAUUCUAGCAUGGAUAAUAAACGAUUAUCAUGAACAAGGAAAUAUAAUAAUAACCUAUUUAUUAUUGCCUCUAGGGCAUAUUUCCAACACUUUUGUGGUGUGUUUGUUGGGAUCCGAUGAAUUGUGGGUUUAUGAUCAGAUUAUUCAUUGAAAGUAGUUGAGUCUUGUCUGAAUUUUAUUAUGCAUGAUUGUUAUAGCUUUGUAUUUCCCUCCGAUCUAUCUGUUUGGUUUGCCAACUAGAUUGAUUUAUCUUCAGUGGCAUACGUGCUUUGUAAUGGGUUCAAUCUUGCGGUGUCCUCACACAAUGAUAGAAGGGGAAGCGAGACACGUAUAAUAUUGUUGCCAUUAAGUAUAAAAUUAUGGGUGUAAUCAUAUUGCUUGAGUUUACUUUGUCUACAUCAUGUCAUCUUGCUUUAGGCGUUACUCUGUUCGUCAUGAACUUAAUACCACAGAUGCAUGCUAGAUAACGGUCGAUUAGUGGAAUAAUAGUAGUAGCUGUAGACAUGAGACGGUCUACUUGUCACGGACAUGAUGACUAUAUACAUGAUCAUUGCCAUGAAUACAUCAUAACUAUGUGUUUUUCUAUCAAUUACCCAACAGUAAUUUGUUUACCCACCAUAUGCUAUGUGUUCGAGAGAGAAGCCUCUAGUGAAAACUAUGGGCCCCGGGUCUACUUUUAUCAUAUUAUUAAAACCAAAAAUACCUUGCUGCAAUUUUACACUUUUUAUUUUACUUUUAUUUUUAUCUAUGUAUCACUAUCAGAAUUAAUCCUUGCAAAUAACGAGUUCAAGGGGAAUGACAACCCUCUUGCCCGCGUUGGGUGCAAGUAUUUGCUUUUCUCUGUGUAGGUGCUGCAGAAGGGAAUUAGUGUGGUUCUUCUAUUGGUUCAAUAACUUUGGUUCUCACUGAGGGAAAUACUUAUCUCUGUUGUACUGCUUCACCCAUCCUCUUCGGGGGAAAUCCCAACACAGUUUACAAGUAGCACUACCCCUCCCUCCUCCUCCAUAGAUGCUUGGUGAAGCCCUGCCUGAGCUCCACCGUAAAAUCCACCACCACGCCAUCGUGUUGGCCUUGAUCCCAUCCACCUAUCCAUGUCGCUUGCUGGAUCAAGAAGGAGACGUCACCGAGCGAUACGUGUGCAUAUCUCAGAGGUGCCGUCCGUGUGGUACUCGAUCGGAUUGGAUCACGAAGAGAGUACGACUACGCCAACCACAUUCAUUAGAAUGUUUUCGUUUUAGGUCUACAAGGGUUUGUAAACUUUUCCCCCUCGUUGCUAGCAUCUAGUUGAUUAGAUCUUGGAUGUUUUCAUUGUCUCGUAGGAAAAAAAUUGUUUUCCAUGGAACGAUUCCCAUCACUGACCUGCUUUAAAGAAGUGGGUAGGAGCUCAGGCGACCCGGGCUCAGCAGGUGGCCAGGCGGGAGGUCCCUAAGAGGUGCAUCCAAGAAUGCAACAACCUCCAAGUAGAGAAGGCGUCCCUAGCCGAGAGGAAGAGACAACAAGAGCUGGAGCUGGAGGAAGUUAAGUCUCGCCUAGCUGAUGCCGAGAGUGACGCGGCAGGCCCUUGAGAUCAUAGCCAGUGAGUCUGUCUGUGCUUCAACUCAUAAUCUAGGUGGAAAUUUUAUUUGCCGAUCUGUCAUAGAAAUUCAUUAUUUCCAGCAUCUUUUCCCGAGCCAGUGCUGUUGGAGUGUCACUUAGGAAGAAACUGCAGCAGCUUGGAGAGUUGAACAAGAUCGCGAGGCCGACAAUGGAGGGUAUUUUCAAGGCCCUAUGGCCUGGAGAAAGGUUGUCGGAAAACCAGUUUGACCUCCCGCCGCCUCCCGGAGGGGCAUGCUCGGAUUGCCCUGUGAAAGGCCUUAGUGGCCUGAGAAGAUGCUCGUCAAGCUUGGGCCAUGCUCCAGACCCACUAUCCGGGCUUGAACAUCUGUCCUAUUGCCCUAGUUGGUCCAAAAGGACCUGUCGGUAAGGAGAUUAUGCCUAAUGGCAAUUUCCAACGGAUCAUGCCCUAUACUAGGAUGUCCGAGCAGGAUUGUCGUUUGGAAAAUAUUAUUGAAUAGGCUAGGAGCGAUUACCCUGGAAUGUCAAGGAUGAAAAGUUGUAUAAAAACUUCACGAAUUUCGCUCUAGCCAUGUUUAUUUUUUUCUAUACCGACAACAUGAUAGGUUUGGUCCGACCUGUUUAGCAUACGCUUGCAUUAACCAGCCUUUGGCUUCAACCUCCACAACCAAACGGGGAGGCCUUAUAAUUGAUGUUAACGCAAGGAGUAGGGAUCGCCAUGCAACUAGGAUGCAAACAUAUCUAUGAAUAUAUGAAAUCUCUCGCAAGGAUUAAGUAGGGGUGUGUCCAACUUGUUUGCUCAUGAAGACCUCGAGCAUUUGAUAAAGCUCAUCAUCGGGAUGUACAAGGAAAGUUCUACAACAUAAAUUCCCCAAGCUAGUAUAAAACAUGAAGCUCAUGAAACUUUAAUUAGAUGCUAAUUAUCCAGACCAACAAAAGUUCUUUAGUAAGAGUCUCUAAGAAAUAUAUUUCAUCGAAACUGUCCUACUCAGCUCGAGUGAACAGUUAAAUCCAAAAAAAAUUGAAACAAAAUUUCAAAAAAAUCUAAAUUUUUUUGGUGAUAAAUGUUUUCAAUGCUUGCAAAGUUUCAUCAUGUAAUUAUAUUUGUGGAAGUCAUGCAAAAAUAAUAUCGAUGCUUCAAAAAAGUUAUUUUCGGAGUGCUGAAUUUGUUUAUUGCCGUGACGAAGAUGAAUGCCAGUCUAUGAUGAAACUUUGCAAGGAUAUAUAACAUGUGUCAAAUUAAGCCACACACAAAAAAUCAGAAAUUUUUGAAUUCUUUCUAAAUAUUUUCAGAUUUUAUUGCUCACCCGAGCUCAUAUGAGCUCGAGCUCAGUUAAUCCGUGUCCAUGUUUCAUCCUAUUCUACUAGCAAAAACCAAUGGAGCAGAUGGUAGUGACGUGGAAAAGAAACCAUAAUAAUUUUGUAGUGAUAUAUAAUUAAAGAAACAGAAAUUUGCAAUUGCAAAUUAGGGAAUCUUAAUGUCAAAUACUGAAUUCUUCCACCCACUAGCUGUGAGACAUAUCCAUUGCAGUGCCAAAUAAAGAAACUUUUCCAUGAAUUAAUAACAGCAAGACAAUGGUCCGCGUGUUGUAUAUAAUAAAUAUUACACAGGUUUUGCAUAUGUGUAGCCGGUGCAUAUAGACCUAUGAGGAAUUACGUAUGCAUGCUCAAGAACCUAUGUUCGUACAUACAUACACAAAUCAUAUAGAACAAAAGGUAUGCUCCGGUCCGAAAGCAGAGUCGUGCAGCAGAGUUGUGGACAAAAGUGAAGUUCACAAAAGACCUUCAUACGAGAUAGGCCAUUGUUUCAACUCGUAGUUUAGGCCUUGCCGGACUCCUCGCAACCCGGUGGCCUGAAGGCGAUGAAGCUGACGCACUGCACCUGGCGCAGGUUGUCGAAGCCGAUGACACGGACAUAGGCGUCAGGGUACUCCUUCUUGACCUCCUCCACCUCGUUGAGCACCUGUGUGGCGUCGGUGCACCCAAACAUGGGCAGCUUCCACAUUGUCCAGUAUCGACCGUCGUAGUACCCGGGGGAGCUGUUGUGCUCACGGAAGACGAAGCCAACCUUGCUGAACUCGAGGCAGGGCACCCACUUGGAGCGGAUCAGGUAGUCGACCUGCUUCAGGAGGGCUUCCGUGGAGAGGGGUGGCAAGUAAGACAAGGUCUCGAACUUCUUGAUGCCCUCAAUUGGCCACACCUGAAUGAAUAGAAUGCGCACAGAUGCUCAAUACUUGGUGAUAAGUCAAUUAAUUGUACUAACAAUGCUAGAAUAAAUCAGACGGCAUGCCAAAAAUUGCUCCUUAUGGGCAGCUCUCAUAUGCAUUGCUGGGUUGUUCACAAUCAAUAAAGCUUUGGUUGUACUUAGUUCUAGUAUAUGGGUCCUAUUUCGAGGAUGGGUUUGGUUAUAUACAUCGGGGAUGUUCUGUAAGUGAAUUACUUGCACUGACAAAGAAACUCAUAUCAAUUAGUG
rnacentral:lncRNA from 1 species